CCUACGGGAGGCAGCAGUGAGGAAUAUUGGUCAAUGGGCGCGAGCCUGACCCAGCCAAGUCGCGUGAAGGAUGACUGCCCUACGGGUUGUAACCUUCUUUUAUAAAGGAAUAAAGUGAGGCACGUGUGCCUUUUUGUAUGUACUUUACGAAUAAGGAUCGGCUAACUCCGUGCCAGCAGCGGCGGUAAUACGGAGGAUCCGAGCGUUAUCCGGAUUUAUUGGGUUUAAAGGGAGCGUAGAUGGGUUGUUAAGUCAGUUGUGAAAGUUUGCGGCUCAACCGUAAAAUUGCAAUUGAUACUGGCAGUCUUGAGUACAGUUGAGGUAGGCGGAAUUCGUGGUGUAGCGGUGAAAUGCGUAGAUAUCACGAAGAACACCGAUGGCGAAGGCAGCUUACUAAACUGCCACUGACAUUGAUGCGCGAAAGUGUGGGUAGCAAACAGGAUUAGAUACCCUUGUAGUC
rnacentral:rRNA from 1 species